GCCCAUCCCUGGAGGUGCCCCAGGAAGGCCUGGCCGUGGCACUCAGUGCUCUGGGCUGGGGGACAAGGUGGGCAUCGGGCACAGGGGGGACUCGGUGACCUUGGAGGUCUCAGUGGUCCUGUGGUUCUGUGAGAGGACAAAGAACACCAAGGGAUGUAAUUCUAUGAAAGUGACCCCACAGUUCACUGGGGUUCUCCUGGAGCAAAGAAAGUGUAUGUAUGUCUUUUAUGGACAAAUCUCCACCCAUGGCCUUAGAAACAACCUUUAAAGUACUUGCUGGUGGUUUGCAACAGAGAGCAUUCUCCGGUCACUUCCAUGCUUCCCACAUGGUAAGGGACAGAAUGCCUCCACUGAGGAACAGUAGGCUGUCCUGAGGGUGCCUUGUGAUUGCUAAUUGAGAGGAAGGAACACAGCUGGGGUGUUCUGGGCUGGUUUCCACUGCCUUUGAAGCACAGGAGGAGGAGGAGGAGGAAUGCCUAAUGCUGCAGAAAAGCAAAGGCAGCAGACUAGAAUCCGAAAGGAGACCUCCCUGGUGACACUCAGUGGCGUGGAAAGAACCUCCCUACGUGACUCAGGCAGACACAAACACGGGGGACAAACAGACUCUUCAAAGAAAAGCUCUACCAAGCACUUCCAUGUGCUCAAGGGACACACACAUACAUUUGUGCAGCUCAGCUGUGACCUCCCACCUUCCUCCUGGAAAUCUUCUGGGCAUGUUAUACAGGUUCCAUUUGACUUAAACCCCCAGAACUGUGCACAAGUCUCAGGGCUCAGUGAACAGGGUGCAAGAUGCUUCUACACCUUCCUCAGCACAGACUCUAAGUGCACACAAGUCCCAAACCCAGAAAACCCUAGGGAGGUAACAGGGUUUUAAAGACUGAGAGAGAAAAAGAAAAGCAAAGAAAUUCAAACAAGGGAGUAAGGAGAAAAGACACGACACAUGAAGAGCACAGCAGACGCUGGGGAGGAACACACCACGAAGUAGGUGGUUUCCAAAGAAUAACCUGACAUUACACUCAAAUGUGGCCACCCAUUGCCACAUCACUCAUCUCCAUCAAUUAUUUAGAAACAUUUUAAAACUUGCCAUCAUUACUAACAGCUAUUUAAAUUUGGGAUGCACAGCAGCUGUCACAUAGUACUGUACCUCUUCUGUCCCUUAUUUAGUACAAAAUUA
rnacentral:lncRNA from 1 species